AAAAUUUUUGUUGGCCCAAAUAAAGGAAGAGAAAAUAUAUGUAUAAAUAGAAUAAUUAUGAAUAUGUUUUAUUCGUGCAAUUGACACUUACUAUGGUAACACUUUAUAAGAAGUGGUAAAAGUACACUUCUUUAUACGUAGAUAUAUAUUUGAUAGAAAAGAUUAAAAACAUUUGUUUUUCGAGCUGUUCAUAAUAUUAUUAUGGAAACAGUCUAUUAUCUAGAGACAAAAAGACAAAUGAUUCUUAAAUCUGGAACCACACUUGCAUGAGCAAAUGAAGGUUCAUGUACAGUUGUUGAAAGUUACAUUCUUGCUUCUCAAAAUAAAGUAUGGAAAAAGAAUUGUUUGAUAGGUAAAAUACUGUUCUGUGUUUCAGUCAUAUUGCUGAAUUUGCUGACCAUUGUUGAAGCUGUGGAUUUUCCCUGGGAAAGAAUGAAGAAUGUUUUCAAGAAGAGACUGUAUUCAUUUGUAGUGUUUGAAGUGACGAAAGAAUAACAAAUUGAGACAGAAGACAAAAGAUGUUGAAUGUGACAGCUGGAAAUGUAUGUAGUAGGCUACAAGACUGAUUUCCAAACCAAAUGAUAGGCACUGGUAUGUAUUAUUGUUUAUAAUGAUAUCUAAUGUUGUGUAUAAAAGGGUUCAUUGAUAUGUUGAUCUGUUACACACAGGUAAAUGUCAACUUCUCCACUCAAAUUAGAGGUGGAGGAUGAUUGAUCUGGACUUUAGCUUAAGAGGAUUUAACUAAUGUAUUCCAUGUAACUUUUACCAUGAUUUUAGAUGCCUAAGUUCCAAAACAUCAACACUCUUAUUAGCAGAAACACCCAUGGAUGAAGAAUCAGACUGGUUAAUCGGCGGAUGGUGAAAAUUGUCAAAUGCUGCAAGAAAGAGAGAUAAAACCCCUCACACCACCAGCACCAACUCGGACAGAUGGUAUCUCAACAUAUAGUAGAUUCACGGUGAUACAUCGUAGAAUAGAUAUAGCUGGUCAACUUAUACAAGAAUGUUGAGACAUGGAUAGUUGGUUUCCUGCGAAGAAGAAUGUAUAAUGUAACACCUGCAGCCAGAGAGUUUGGAGAAAUAGAUCAGCUCAAAGAACAUUGGAGAGGUCUGAUGACAAUAUUGAUAUAGGUUAUGAAGGUGAUCUACAACAUGAUUCUGCAACUGCCAAUGAACUUCGGUAGAAGAGCUGGAGGGGAGUGGAGUGAACAGAUUGCAGUACAGUCAAACCUGUCUAUAAAGACCACCCUUGGGAGAGCCAGAUGUGGUCUUUAUUGGGAGGUGGCCAUUAUUCACAAGUUAAGAUAUAUUGUAAAUGUUAAAAUGGGAAACAAAACAUGUGUUCUUUAGAGCCAGGUGGUCUCUGUUCAGAGGUGGUCUUUAACAUGGGUUUGACUGUAUACACAUCAGUGGGAGUGGAACAGGCAGAUUUCAAUACAUACUACAUCAGUGGGGAAAGCACAUUGAAGUUUAGCUGUUUCCAGCUUGAAACAUAUGCCAAUGUGGACAGCCUGGGAGGUCCUCAUCAAGUUGCAGUAGAUUCGUUAAAAAAAAGAAAUGGAGUAAGCUGUACUUCUUGUGUUCUGCUACCUGGAAAAAAUGAGGAAUCUUCAGACACACAUAAUGACAUGGUCAACAUUAUGGAAGUUCAUGGAGUAUGCCCGUGGCCAGACAGAUCUUCAUCUCUUAGAGGUUGAAGUUGCAAGACUGAUGGAAAAUGACAGUGACUGGACAGACAAUGGUGAUGGUGAAGAACUAUAGAAAACUUGGGAAAACUUUUAAUAGUGGCCAUCAACAUGCAGUCAUUGAUUCCAGUAUUCCAGCCAAUGUAUCCCUCUCAAGUUGAAGUUGCAAGGAGAGACUGAUGGAAAAUGACAGUGACUGGACAGACAGUGAUGAUGGUGAAGAACUAGAGAAAACUGUGGAAAACUUUUAAUAGUGGCCAUCAACAAGCAGUCAUUGAUUCCAGUAUUCCAGCCGAUGUAUCCCUCUCGUAGGUUAACUUUAAAGCAGGACUUGCUCUGUCAUGUGGGGGAAAAACAUGAAAUGGAGACGAUCACUUACCAGCACACACAGUUGACUUGAGAAGAAAUUUCUUAUCAGUCAGGAGUUGGCCAAAAAGGAUGUUGAUAUUGAUGCACUUCCUCAUGGCAACUUCAGUCCUACAGAACUAGGGGAGGCAACAGUUAUCACUGUUGACCUAGAAACCAUUGACCUUAUUCAGAUGCCACAUGUCACACAAAGCCGCAUACCACAACAAAUCGCUGUAGCACAUAUAUCUAUGUCACACCUAAAGAGGAAAUUUCACCAGAGGCACAAAGGAUCACCAGGAUUGCAUGGAAUAUUCAGACACGAUGAUGAUAAAAAGCACAAUAGUCCAACACAUCUGUACCUGGAAUUAAGUUGACUGUAGAGAAAUUGUGUACUUGGCUUGAAAAGAUCCUAAAGUGAUUUUGGUAGCCCGUUAUGGAAGACAAUUUGAUUUUCCAGUUCUUGUCUCAGCUCUACUGUGUACAAAAAUAACUAGAACAUUAUUCGUCUGAGUUUCUUCUAAAAAGUAUUCUGUUACCACUGUUCAAGAAACUGUAGGUUAAACAGUCAUACUUGCUAUGACACUACAUGUACUUGGUAUCCGGUAUCCUAUAACUGACAGACAGACAAAUUUACUAUGAAAAACUGGGGAGGCCUGCCAAGGGUUUUCAUAUGUUAAAAAAAUUUUUCAAGCAAUGACGUAUACUCCUGAUAAAUUUGGUACCAUAAUGUUCAUUAUCUUAAGUAAAAAAUGACAAUUGUAAUUGGAAAUUUUAAUUGUGUUAUUUUACUCUAUAUUUAAGAAAAUUAAUAUAUUCAAACUUGUAAAUUUUUUUCAUUUGUUAAAAUGUUAUAUUAUAGCUUUAAGUUAAUACCCUCUUUUUUACAAUCUGCCUAAAGAAACACUUUAGUUGUUCUUGUUUAUUAUUUAGCCAUUUCCUUGAUUAAAAAUACACAACAAACUUCUAGCCCAAGACUUUCCAAGGUUGUCAAGUUAUUACUUUCUUUGAUUUUGCUUAAGUUUGUUAAUUAUUGUUAUAUACUUUUGUUCAAAAUUUAAUAAGGUGUAAAACCUUUAAAUAAUAUCCUUAAGCAACAGAUGUUAUCUUUUAAUAGUAAAGUAAGGAGAAGAAAACCUUUACUGUAAGCUAAUAUAACUUUCUGUCCAAUGCCUGAAAUAUUUUUAUGCCCCCAAAGGGAGGCAUAUUAGUUUUCAACUGUCUGUCCGUUCGUUGGUUGGUUCGUUCGUCACAAUGUUAACUUUCUGCAUGAAGGCACUUUACUCGCAACCACUCUACCCAGGACCUUCAAACUUCACAUGCUGAUAGUACUUGAGUACACGACCCCUACUGACUUUGGGGUCACCAGGUCAUAGGUCCAGGUCAAAGGUCAAGGCGCUGCGGGCAUUUGUCACCAUUAGUGACAGCUCUUGUUUGUAAAUAUUUCAUGACUUUCUGAAUAAAAAUGAUUAAAUUAAAACUGUAAGUAAAAUAUACAAACCCCAAACUUUUAAGGAGCAAGAGGACAAAAUUUCAUUUCAACUCAUGUUUAAAAUUAACUUUGUGAUAUUUUUCUUAGUGAUAAGUUUCUCAGUGAUAUCUAGACAUUUAAUUUUAUAAUUAUCUGUAUAGAUUUUUGUUCAGUUAAUUCAGGUGUAUACAAGACUUAUAGGCCCAUUGGGCCGGGUGUGUUUAACUGUUAAAUAUUGUAUGUUAUUAUGUUUAUAUGCUCACACAGUCACGUUAAUAAACAAAUUUCUUAUCUUCUAAAGUUUUUUUUGUUUUAAGCUACCUAAUUAUUUAUAUUAGAGAAAACUGUUAAAUUUUAACUACUUUAUAAGUGUACAUGUAAAUCCUAUUUCACUAUACUUACAUAUUAUUGAAAGCUAAGGGUCCCCACUGGAAAUAAGUGACAUUGUUACUUUCAUGGUUUAUCCCAGGCAGAAAGAUCAUCAUUUUUUCCUGAUAUUUAUGUAUUAGCUUGAUUACACUUGUAAAGUACAAACAUAUAAGGGUUUACUGCAUAUUUAUUAAUUCUAAUAUUUUUGAUUUUUAUACCACUUUGUAUUUCUGUUAUAAUUGGAUCUUAUGCCUGAAUAAAAUUGAAUUGAAUUGAACUGAAUUGAAUUUUAAACUGAACUGAACAGAAACUGAAAUUUUUAAACUGAACUGAACAGAAUUUAGAACAGAAAUUGAACUGAAUUGUAAACUGAAACCAAACUGAACUGAACAGAAUUUAGAACAGAAACUGAACUGAAUUUUAAGCUGCAACUGAACUGAACUGAAUUUGAAACAGAAACUGAACUGAAUUUGAAACUGAACUGAACUGAAUAUAGCUGGGUAAAAAACUACAGUACAGCUUGCAUUAAGAGACCACCAAAGGGAAGGAAAAAACAUGUUCUCUUUAUGCAACAUAGUUCGUUCUUUGAUAACAUAAAAAAGGAACUGAAAAACUGGUCUCUAAUGCACGUAGUUUCUAAAUCAAAUGUACUUGAUGAAACUUAUUAUGCUUUUGUGCUGCAAAUUUUGUAAUGUAGUUUUGUUGUGUCUAUGAUGAUUUCUCUAAAUAAACUUUAAAACAUUA